UACGUAGGUGGCAAGCGUUGUCCGGAAUUAUUGGGCGUAAAGAGUACGUAGGUGGCAACCUAAGCGCAGGGUUUAAGGCAAUGGCUCAACCAUUGUUCGCCCUGCGAACUGGGAUGCUUGAGUGCAGGAGAGGAAAGCGGAAUUCCUAGUGUAGCGGUGAAAUGCGUAGAUAUUAGGAGGAACACCAGUGGCGAAGGCGGCUUUCUGGACUGUAACUGACACUGAGGUACGAAAGCGUGGGGAGCAAACAGG
rnacentral:rRNA from 1 species